UUAACAUUUAAAUCACCAGGGCAAACACUGUCUCCAGACGCAGUCUAGCACCAGCAACAAGGGUACUUGCAAAUGCAAACCAAAGGUGGCAGCACAAUUCCCCCAAUAUCUGCCAUCAAAGCAGUCAGUAAGAGCGGACUAUCAGGUCACA